rnacentral:lncRNA from 1 species
UCGUCUAAACAUGUCAGCGCCUUGUAGAGUUACCAAGGUAUACUGAGGAAUUAGAGGAGGUGGGGAAGGUGGAGUGUUCAGAUUCGCAUGAACAAGCUCUGUAUACCAAGCGUCCAUCAUACGGAGGUAGGCUUCUCUAUCCCCUCCUUCUUGGCCCAUAGUCAUAGGCUAGCUCUCAACCGGCGAAGUCUUUUCAGCGGGUG